rfam:Amycolicicoccus subflavus DQS3-9A1, complete genome.
UCGUCGAGAAUUUGCGGACAGAUGAAGUGCACAUGGCAGUCGAUGCCGCCUGCAGUGAGGAUUUUGCCGUUGCCUGCGAUGAUUUCAGUUGAUGGGCCGACCACCAGGCUAGGGUCGAUCCCGUUCAUCGUGUCUGGGUUACCGGCCUUGCCUAUUCCCACGAUCCGCCCGUCGCGGAUGCCGACGUCCGCCUUGAUGACGCCCCAGUAGUCAACAAUGACCGCUCCGGUAAUGACCGUAUCGGGCGCACCGUCCGCGCGUGUGGCGCGUCCUUGACCCAUCGACUCGCGCAG